UUUCCGUAGGUGAACCUGCGGAAGGAUCAUUACUGAGUGAGGGCUCUCUGGGUCCAACCUCCCACCCGUGUUUAUUGUACCUUGUUGCUUCGGUGAGUCCGCCGCACGGCCGCCGGGGGGCAUCUGCCCCCGGGCCCGCGCUCGUCGAUGACACCCUAGAACUCUGUCUGAUGUUUGCAGUCUGAGCGAAAACUAAAUAAGAUAAAACUUUCAACAACGGAUCUCUUGGUUCCG
rnacentral:misc_RNA from 1 species